rnacentral:rRNA from 1 species
AUUGGUGACGAUAGCUGAGUGGGCACACCUCUUCCCAUCCCGAACAGAGAAGUUAAGCACUCAUACGCCGACGAUAGUCUCAAAGCGAAAAUAGGUAGUUGCCAAUU